GAUUAACGCUGGCGGCGUGCAUGAGACAUGCAAGUCGAACGGACGAGCUUGGCUUGCCUUGCUCGUUAGUGGCGGACGGCUGAGUAACGCGUGGGUGACCUGCCCCGAAGUGGGGAAUAACUGCCCGAAAGGGUGGCUAAUACCGCAUGUGGUGAGCGGUUCGUUCCGUUCACCAAAGCCGCAAGGCGCUUCGGGAGGGGCCUGCGUCCGAUUAGCUCGUUGGUGGGGUAACGGCUCACCAAGGCGACGAUCGGUAGGUGGUCUGAGAGGACGAUCACCCAGACUGGGACUGAGACACGGCCCAGACUCCUACGGGAGGCAG
rnacentral:rRNA from 1 species